CCUACGGGUGGCAGCAGUGGGGAAUAUUGCGCAAUGGGCGAAAGCCUGACGCAGCGACGCCGCGUGAGGGAUGAAGGUCUUCGGAUCGUAAACCUCUGUCAGCAGGGAAGAACGGUCACUGUGCUAAUCAGCAGUGCAUUGACGGUACCUGCAAAGGAAGCACCGGCUAACUCCGUGCCAGCAGCCGCGGUAAUACGGAGGGGGCGAGCGUUCAGCGGAAUUACUGGGCGUAAAGCGCUCGUAGGCGGUAUGUCAAGUCAAGGGUGAAAUCCCCGCGCUCAACGUGGGAACUGCCUUUGAAACUGGCAAACUGGAGUGUGUGAGAGGAUAGUGGAAUUCCAGGUGGAGGAGUGAAAUCCGUAGAUAUCUGGAGGAACAUCAGUGGCGAAGGCGACUAUCUGGCACAUAACUGACGCUGAGGAGCGAAAGCGUGGGUAGCAAACAGGAUUAGAUACCCCUGUAGUC
rnacentral:rRNA from 1 species